rnacentral:rRNA from 1 species
GUUAUUAAAAACAUGUCCUAUUGAUAAUAAUUUUAGGUCUGGCCUGCUCGAUGAUGAUUUAAAUGGCCGCGGUAUUUUGACCGUGCAAAGGUAGCAUAAUCAAUAGUUUUUUAAUUGAAAGCUUGUAUGAAAGGUUUGAUGAAAAAAUAACUGUCUCUAUUUAAAUUUAUUAAAAUUUUAUUUUUAAGUUAAAAAGCUUAGAUGUAUAUUGAAGACGAGAAGACCCUAUAGAGUUUUAUAUUUUAAAAGUAAAAUUUAAUUUUGGUAUUUAUAGGUUUGAUUUUUAAUUUAUUUAGUUGGGGUGAUUAAAAAAUUAAAUAAACUUUUUUUUUAUAAAUUCAUUUAUUUAUGAAUAAUUGAUCCUUAAAAAGAUUAAAAGAUAAAAUUACCUUAGGGAUAACAGCGUAAUUUUUUUUUAGAGUUCAAAUUGAAAAAAAAGAUUGCGACCUCGAUGUUGGAUUAAAAAAAAUUAUUGGUGUAGUAGCUAAUAAAUUAGGUCUGUUCGACCUUUAAAAUUUUACAUGAUCUGAKUUUAAACCGGCGUAA